rnacentral:rRNA from 1 species
CUGCGCCUACGGGGCGCAGCAGUGGGGGAUAUUGCACAAUGGGGGGAACCCUGAUGCAGCGACGCCGCGUGGGUGAAGGAGUGCUUCGGCAUGUAAAGCCCUAUCGGCAGGGAAGAAGCAAGACGGUACCUGACUAAGAAGCCCCGGCUAACUACGUGCCAGCAGCCGCGGUAAUACGUAGGUGGCAAGCGUUAUCCGGAUUUACUGGGUGUAAAGGGCGUGUAGGCGGGAAAGCAAGUCAGAUUGGAAAACCAUGGGCCUAACCUGGGGCCUGCAUUUGAAAAUGGUUUUUUUG